AUGCUGACGCCAAUAGCACAUAUACUAAAAUUGUAAUGAUAUACAGAAAAUUAGCAUGGCCCUUGCACAAGGAUGUAACACAAAUUUGUGAAGUAUUUCAUAUGUUU
rnacentral:snRNA from 1 species